rnacentral:rRNA from 1 species
UGCCAGCCGCCGCGGUAAUACGGAGGGUGCAAGCGUUACUCGGAAUUACUGGGCGUAAAGAGCGUGUAGGCGGAUAGAUAAGUCAGAUGUGAAAGCCCACGGCUCAACCGUGGAAGUGCAUUUGAAACUGUUUAGCUUGAGUUCGGGAGAGGAAAGUGGAAUUCCCGGUGUAGAGGUGGAAUUCGUAGAUAUCGGGAAGAACACCGGAGGCGAAGGCGGCUUUCUGGACCGAUACUGACGCUGAGACGCGAAAGCGUGGGGAGCAAACAGGAUUAGAUA